CAGCAGCGCGGGAAAACGAAGGGGGCUAGCGUUGUUCGGAAUUACUGGGCGUAAAGCGCACGUAGGCGGAUAUUUAAGUCAGGGGUGAAAUCCCGCAGCUCAACUGCGGAACUGCCUUUGAUACUGGGUAUCUUGAGUAUGGAAGAGGUUAGUGGAAUUGCGAGUGUAGAGGUGAAAUUCGUAGAUAUUCGCAGGAACACCAGUGGCGAAGGCGGCUAACUGGUCCAUAACUGACGCUGAGGUGCGAAAGCGUGGGGAGCAAACAGGAUUAGAUACCCCAGUAGUCCCUGUCUCUUAUACA
rnacentral:rRNA from 1 species